AAGUGGUAGGAGAGCGUUCUAUUUGCGUCGAAGGUAUACCGGUAAGGAGUGCUGGAGCGAAUAGAAGUGAGCAUGCAGGCAUGAGUAGCGAUAAUUAAUGUGAGAAUCAUUAACGCCGUAAACCCAAGGUUUCCUACGCGAUGCUCGUCAUCGUAGGGUUAGUCGGGUCCUAAGUCGAGUCCGAAAGGGGUAGACGAUGGCAAAUUGGUUAAUAUUCCAAUACCAACAUUAGUGUGCGAUGGAAGGACGCUUAGGGCUAAGGGGGCUAGCGGAUGGAAGUGCUAGUCUAAGGUUGUAGGAGGUUAUACAGGCAAAUCCGUAUAACAAUACUCCGAGAACUGAAAGGCUUUUUGAAGUCUUCGGAUGGAUAGAAGAACCCCUGAUGCCGUCGAGCCAAGAAAAGUUUCUAAGUUUAGCUAAUGUUGCCCGUACCGUAAACCGACACAGGUGGGUGGGAUGAGUAUUCUAAGGCGCGUGGAAGAACUCUCUUUAAGGAACUCUGCAAAAUAGCACCGUAUCUUCGGUAUAAGGUGUGGUUAGCUUCGUACUAGGAUUUACUCCGAAAGCGAAGAAACUUACAACAAAGAGUCCCUCCCGACUGUUUACCAAAAACACAGCACUCUGCUAACUCGUAAGAGGAUGUAUAGGGUGUGACGCCUGCCCGGUGCUCGAAGGUUAAUUGAUGGGGUUAGCAUUAGCGAAGCUCUUGAUCGAAGCCCGAGUAAACGGCGGCCGUAACUAUAACGGUCCUAAGGUAGCGAAAUUCCUUGUCGGUUAAAUACCGACCUGCAUGAAUGGCGUAACGAGAUGGGAGCUGUCUCAAAGAGGGAUCCAGUGAAAUUGUAGUGGAGGUGAAAAUUCCUCCUACCCGCGGCAAGACGGAAAGACCCCGUGGACCUUUACUACAGCUUGACACUGCUACUUGGAUAAGAAUGUGCAGGAUAGGUGGGAGGCUUUGAGUAUAUGAUGCCAGUUGUAUAUGAGCCAUUGUUGAGAUACCACUCUUUCUUAUUUGGGUAGCUAACCAGCUUGAGUUAUCCUCAAGUGGGACAAUGUCUGGUGGGUAGUUUGACUGGGGCGGUCGCCUCCCAAAUAAUAACGGAGGCUUACAAAGGUUGGCUCAGAACGGUUGGAAAUCGUUCGUAGAGUAUAAAGGUAUAAGCCAGCUUAACUGCAAGACAUACAAGUCAAGCAGAGACGAAAGUCGGUCUUAGUGAUCCGGUGGUUCUGUGUGGAAGGGCCAUCGCUCAAAGGAUAAAAGGUACCCCGGGGAUAACAGGCUGAUCUCCCCCAAGAGCUCACAUCGACGGGGAGGUUUGGCACCUCGAUGUCGGCUCAUCGCAUCCUGGGGCUGGAGCAGGUCCCAAGGGUAUGGCUGUUCGCCAUUUAAAGCGGUACGCGAGCUGGGUUCAGAACGUCGUGAGACAGUUCGGUCCCUAUCUGCCGUGGGCGUAAGAAGAUUGAAGAGAUUUGACCCUAGUACGAGAGGACCGGGUUGAACAAACCACUGGUGUAGCUGUUGUUCUGCCAAGAGCAUCGCAGCGUAGCUAAGUUUGGAAAGGAUAAACGCUGAAAGCAUCUAAGCGUGAAGCCAACUCUAAGAUGAAUCUUCUCUAAGCUCUCUAGAAGACUACUAGUUUGAUAGGCUGGGUGUGUAAUGGAUGAAAGUCCUUUAGCUGACCAGUACUAAUAGAGCGUUUGGCUUAUCUUUAAUAAAGCAU
rnacentral:rRNA from 1 species